UUAAGCGACUAAGCGUACACGGUGGAUGCCCUGGCAGUCAGAGGCGAUGAAGGACGUGCUAAUCUGCGAAAAGCGUCGGUAAGGUGAUAUGAACCGUUACAGCCGGCGAUGUCCGAAUGGGGAAACCCAGUGUGAUUCGUCACACUAUCGUUAACUGAAUACAUAGGUUAACGAGGCGAACCGGGGGAACUGAAACAUCUAAGUACCCCGAGGAAAAGAAAUCAACCGAGAUUCCCCCAGUAGCGGCGAGCGAACGGGGAGCAGCCCAGAGUCUGAAUCAGCUUGUGUGUUAGUGGAACGGUCUGGAAAGUCCGACGGUACAGGGUGAUAGUCCCGUACACCAAAAUGCACAGGCUGUGAACUCGAAGAGUAGGGCGGGACACGUGGUAUCCUGUCUGAAUAUGGGGGGACCAUCCUCCAAGGCUAAAUACUCCUGACUGACCGAUAGUGAACCAGUACCGUGAGGGAAAGGCGAAAAGAACCCCGGCGAGGGGAGUGAAAAAGAACCUGAAACCGUGUACGUACAAGCAGUGGGAGCACCUUCGGGUGUGACUGCGUACCUUUUGUAUAAUGGGUCAGCGACUUAUAUUCUGUAGCAAGGUUAACCGUAUAGGGGAGCCGCAGGGAAACCGAGUCUUAACUGGGCGUUAAGUUGCAGGGUAUAGACCCGAAACCCGGUGAUCUAGCCAUGGGCAGGUUGAAGGUUGGGUAACACUAACUGGAGGACCGAACCGACUAAUGUUGAACAAUUAGCGGAUGACUUGUGGCUGGGGGUGAAAGGCCAAUCAAACCGGGAGAUAGCUGGUUCUCCCCGAAAGCUAUUUAGGUAGCGCCUCGUGAAUUCAUCUUCGGGGGUAGAGCACUGUUUCGGCUAGGGGGUCAUCCCGACUUACCAACCCGAUGCAAACUACGAAUACCGAAGAAUGUUAUCACGGGAGACACACGGCGGGUGCUAACGUCCGUCGUGAAGAGGGAAACAACCCAGACCGCCAGCUAAGGUCCCAAAGUCACAGUUAAGUGGGAAACGAUGUGGGAAGGCACAGACAGCCAGGAUGUUGGCUUAGAAGCAGCCAUCAUUUAAAGAAAGCGUAAUAGCUCACUGGUCGAGUCGGCCUGCGCGGAAGAUGUAACGGGGCUAAACUGUGCACCGAAGCUGCGGCAGCGACACUAUGUGUUGUUGGGUAGGGGAGCGUUCUGUAAGCCUGCGAAGGUGGCCUGUGAGGGUUGCUGGAGGUAUCAGAAGUGCGAAUGCUGACAUAAGUAACGAUAAUGCGGGUGAAAAGCCCGCACGCCGGAAGACCAAGGGUUCCUGUCCAACGUUAAUCGGGGCAGGGUGAGUCGACCCCUAAGGCGAGGCCGAAAGGCGUAGUCGAUGGGAAACAGGUUAAUAUUCCUGUACUUGGUGUUACUGCGAAGGGGGGACGGAGAAGGCUAUGUUAGCCGGGCGACGGUUGUCCCGGUUUAAGCAUGUAGGCGGAGGUUCCAGGUAAAUCCGGUACCUUUUUAACGCUGAGGUGUGAUGACGAGGCACUACGGUGCUGAAGUAACAAAUGCCCUGCUUCCAGGAAAAGCCUCUAAGCAUCAGGUAACAUUAAAUCGUACCCCAAACCGACACAGGUGGUCAGGUAGAGAAUACCAAGGCGCUUGAGAGAACUCGGGUGAAGGAACUAGGCAAAAUGGUGCCGUAACUUCGGGAGAAGGCACGCUGAUAUGUAGGUGAAGCCCCUGCGGGUGGAGCUGAAAUCAGUCGAAGAUACCAGCUGGCUGCAACUGUUUAUUAAAAACACAGCACUGUGCAAACACGAAAGUGGACGUAUACGGUGUGACGCCUGCCCGGUGCCGGAAGGUUAAUUGAUGGGGUUAUCCGUAAGGAGAAGCUCUUGAUCGAAGCCCCGGUAAACGGCGGCCGUAACUAUAACGGUCCUAAGGUAGCGAAAUUCCUUGUCGGGUAAGUUCCGACCUGCACGAAUGGCGUAAUGAUGGCCAGGCUGUCUCCACCCGAGACUCAGUGAAAUUGAACUCGCUGUGAAGAUGCAGUGUACCCGCGGCAAGACGGAAAGACCCCGUGAACCUUUACUAUAGCUUGACACUGAACAUUGAGCCUUGAUGUGUAGGAUAGGUGGGAGGCUUUGAAGCGUGGACGCCAGUCUGCGUGGAGCCAACCUUGAAAUACCACCCUUUAAUGUUUGAUGUUCUAACGUUGGCCCCUGACCGGGGUUGCGGACAGUGUCUGGUGGGUAGUUUGACUGGGGCGGUCUCCUCCCAAAGAGUAACGGAGGAGCACGAAGGUUAGCUAAUCCUGGUCGGACAUCAGGAGGUUAGUGCAAUGGCAUAAGCUAGCUUGACUGCGAGCGUGACGGCGCGAGCAGGUGCGAAAGCAGGUCAUAGUGAUCCGGUGGUUCUGAAUGGAAGGGCCAUCGCUCAACGGAUAAAAGGUACUCCGGGGAUAACAGGCUGAUACCGCCCAAGAGUUCAUAUCGACGGCGGUGUUUGGCACCUCGAUGUCGGCUCAUCACAUCCUGGGGCUGAAGUAGGUCCCAAGGGUAUGGCUGUUCGCCAUUUAAAGUGGUACGCGAGCUGGGUUUAGAACGUCGUGAGACAGUUCGGUCCCUAUCUGCCGUGGGCGCUGGAGAAUUGAGGGGGGCUGCUCCUAGUACGAGAGGACCGGAGUGGACGCAUCACUGGUGUUCGGGUUGUCAUGCCAAUGGCAUUGCCCGGUAGCUAAAUGCGGAAGAGAUAAGUGCUGAAAGCAUCUAAGCACGAAACUUGCCCCGAGAUGAGUUCUCCCUGACUCCUUGAGAGUCCUGAAGGAACGUUAAAGACGAUGACGUUGAUAGGUCGGAUGUGUAAGCGUAGCGAUACGUUGAGCUAACCGAUACUAAUGAACCGUGAGGCUUAACCUU
rnacentral:rRNA from 2 species